rnacentral:rRNA from 1 species
UACGUAGGUGGCAAGCGUUGUCCGGAUUUACUGGGCGUAAAGAGCGCGCAGGCGGUCGUUCAAGUCGCGUGUGAAAGCCCCCGGCUCAACUGGGGAGGGUCACGCGAUACUGAUCGACUCGAAGGCAGGAGAGGGAAGUGGAAUUCCCGGUGUAGUGGUGAAAUGCGUAGAUAUCGGGAGGAAUACCAGUGGCGAAGGCGCUGGGCUGGACGGUUAUUGACGCUGAGGUGCGAAAGCGUGGGGAGCAAACAGGG